GGACCUGACUGCUAUCGGAUUGAUACUAAGCCAUGCGAGUCAUUGUAGCAAUACAAGGCAUACGGCUCAGUAACGCGUAGUCAACCUAACCUAUGGACGGGAAUAACCUCGGGAAACUGAGAAUAAUGCCCGAUAGAACAUUAUACCUGGAAUGGUUUAUGUUCCAAAUGAUUUAUCGCCGUAGGAUGGGACUGCGGCCUAUCAGUUUGUUGGUGAGGUAAUGGCCCACCAAGACUAUUACAGGUACGGGCUCUGAGAGGAGUAGCCCGGAGAUGGGUACUGAGACACGGACCCAGGCCCUAUGGGGCGCAGCAGGCGAGAAAACUUUGCAAUGUGCGAAAGCACGACAAGGUUAAUCCGAGUGAUUUCUGCUAAAGAAACCUUUUGUCAGUCCUAGAAACACUGAUGAAUAAGGGGUGGGCAAGUUCUGGUGU
rnacentral:rRNA from 1 species